UACGAAGGGGCUAGCGUUGCUCGGAAUGACUGGGCGUAAAGGGCGCGUAGGCGGAUGACACAGUCAGAUGUGAAAUUCCCGGGCUUAACCUGGGGCUGCAUUUGAUACGUGUUGUCUAGAGUGAGGAAGAGGGUUGUGGAAUUCCCAGUGUAGAGGUGAAAUUCGUAGAUAUUGGGAAGAACACCGGUGGCGAAGGCGGCAACCUGGUCCUUGACUGACGCUGAGGCGCGAAAGCGUGGGAGCAAACAGG
rnacentral:rRNA from 1 species